AGUGAACGCUGGCGGUAGGCCUAACACAUGCAAGUCGAACGGCAGCACAGUAAGAGCUUGCUCUUACGGGUGGCGAGUGGCGGACGGGUGAGGAAUACAUCGGAAUCUACUUUUUCGUGGGGGAUAACGUAGGGAAACUUACGCUAAUACCGCAUACGACCUACGGGUGAAAGCAGGGGAUCUUCGGACCUUUCGCUAUUGAAUUCGCCGAUGUCGGAUUAGCUAGUUGGCGGGGUAAAGGCCCACCAAGGCGACGAUCCGUAGCUGGUCUGAGAGGAUGAUCAGGCACACUGGAACUGAGACACGGUCCAGACUCCUACGGGAGGCAGCAGUGGGGAAUAUUGGACAAUGGGCGCAAGCCUGAUCCAGCCAUACCGCGUGGGUGAAGAAGGCCUUCGGGUUGUAAAGCCCUUUUGUUGGGAAAGAAAAGCAGCAGGUUAAUACCCCGCUGUUCUGACGGUACCCAAAGAAUAAGCACCGGCUAACUUCGUG
rnacentral:rRNA from 1 species